rnacentral:rRNA from 1 species
UACGUAGGGGGCGAGCGUUGUCCGAAGUUACUGGGCGUAAAGCGUGCGCAGGCGGUUCGUUGUGUCGGCGGUGAAAGCCCCGGGCUUAACCUGGGAAUGGCCGUUGAAACUGGCGAACUGGAGUGUGGCAGAGGGGGGUGGAAUUCCGCGUGUAGCAGUGAAAUGCGUAGAGAUGCGGAGGAACACCGAUGGCCGAAGGCAGCCCCCUGGGCUAACACUGACGCUCAGGCACGAAAGCGUGGGGAGCAAACAGG